GAGUUUGAUCUUGGCUCAGGAUGAACGCUGGCGGCGUGCUUAACACAUGCAAGUCGAACGGAACUUGUAAGUGGAAGUCUUCGGAUGGAAACUUACUUGUUUAGUGGCGGACGGGUGAGUAACGCGUGGGUAACCUGCCUUACACAGGGGGGAUAACAGCCGGAAACGGCUGCUAAUACCGCAUAAGCGCACAGCUUCGCAUGGAGUGGUGUGAAAAGAUUUUAUCGGUGUAAGAUGGACCCGCGUCUGAUUAGCUAGUUGGUGGGGUAACGGCCUACCAAGGCAACGAUCAGUAGCCGGCUUGAGAGAGUGAACGGCCACAUUGGGACUGAGACACGGCCCAAACUCCUACGGGAGGCAGCAGUGGGGAAUAUUGCACAAUGGGCGAAAGCCUGAUGCAGCGACGCCGCGUGAGUGAAGAAGUAUUUCGGUAUGUAAAGCUCUAUCAGCAGGGACGAAUAAAUGACGGUACCUGACUAAGAAGCCCGGCUAACUACGUGCCAGCCGCCGCGGUAAC
rnacentral:rRNA from 1 species